rnacentral:rRNA from 1 species
GACGUAGGGUCCGAGCGUUGUCCGGAAUUAUUGGGCGUAAAGGGCUCGUAGGCGGUCUGUUGCGUCGGGAGUGAAAACUUACAGCUUAACUGUGAGCGUGCUUCCGAUACGGGCAGACUUGAGGUAUUCAGGGGAGAACGGAAUUCCUGGUGUAGCGGUGAAAUGCGCAGAUAUCAGGAGGAACACCGGUGGCGAAGGCGGUUCUCUGGGAAUAUCCUGACGCUGAGGAGCGAAAGUGUGGGGAGCGAACAGG